CUCGGUUGGAGACUUGGAAAAUCCAAGUCACUGAGUGGGAUCGGCUAUAUGAAUCUUAGAACGCCAUUGUGUUCUGUCCUGUGUCAUGUCCUCUGUUAGAUCCAAGUACUCUAAGUCUUUUCUUAGGGUCUCUUCCAAAGUUUUCCUAGGUCUUCCUCUACCCCUUCGGCCCUGAACCUCUGUCCCAUAGUCGCAUCUUCUAAUCGGAGCGUCAGUAGGCCUUCUUUGCACAUGUCCAAACCACUUUAACCGAUUUUCUCUCAUCUUUCCUUCAAUUUC
rnacentral:lncRNA from 1 species